UGAUGUCGAUGGGAUUCGAACCCACGCCAACGAAGACUGGAGCCUAAAUCCAGCGCCUUAGACCACUCGGCCACGACAUC
rnacentral:tRNA from 1 species